AUCAAAAAAAAAAAAAAAACUUCAAUGGAUCGAAACUGGAAUUUACGAUUUUCUAAUAGAUUCUAGUGUAAGAACUGGACAGAAUUGACAUGGGACCACACUGCAGGCAUCAGUUUUCGAAUACAAAAAGAAUUAUCAAAAUUGGUUGACUUCAAAGUUAUGUGGUAACAAACAUAAAAAAAAAAUACAGACUAAUUGACAACCUCCUCCUUUUUGGAAGUCGGUAAAAAUAGGAAAAAUUCACAGUCUUGCAAACUUCGAAUUCUGUUACGACUAUAGAAAGCUUAAAAAUUUUGAAGUAAGACAAAAUAUAGAAUUACUAUUCGAAAAAUUGCUAUUCGAUGAAUUUUAAUUCGAAGAACUGUUAUUCGAAAAAAAAUUUCAUUGGUGAAUUGUUUUCGAUAAAUUUUCUAUGAACUAUCAAGCUAGAUUCCAUAUAUAUCACCAGUAAGGAUAUAGAAGAAUAGUUGGAUCGUUGGAUGAAGAUGCCCAAUCAUUUUCUCUGAGUUUGUAAACAUCAAAAAAUGAUGAAAUUGCUGAUAGAACUCAAGAAAUAAGUUAAAUUUUUUAUAAGUUUAAUUAUUUUGAAAAAUCAUAUAAAUUACAGUUCAAACUA